CUAAAAAAAAUCUCAUUUUCUUCAUGUUUUUAAGGGUGGGAGAAGAUGACUUUUUUGGUUAGCCGGAAAAAUCAUCUUAUCUCCGCCCAUAUUACUAAUUAUUUUAGUUCAAUAAGUCUUAGUUCACAAAUUUAGUGUUUGAUUUGGAUUUUGCUUUUUUCUUAUUGGAAUAAAGUUUAAAGUUUUAUAUAUCUUCUUUAAUUAAGAUUUUUUGGAUCACACUAGUGUUUGUUUGAGCUUUUAAGAAAUGAAAAGAGUAUCAACCUAUCUUUUUAGAGUUUCACUGAAGAUGUAGAUUGAAGAUCAAAAAUAGUAGGUUUCAACGGAUCAAGCGGAUUGAAUUAUAAAUCGAAAAAAGAAAAUUUCAAAACACCCAAAUUUGUUUUUUUUUUGGCAUUGAGCUUUAUUUUGUUAUUAAAGGUUAAAUGUUAUUAAGGAAUCAUAAUUGAUGCUGAAUAACAUUUUAUUUGUGACUUUCUUAAUUUUUUACACAGAUAAUCGAGUCGAGUUCGAGUAUCUAUAUUAUCGGAGCUCGUGCUCGAGCUCUCAAAAUGGAGCUGGAUCAAGUUUGGAUAUAAACUGAAGCAAAAGUUCUUGAUUUGAUUUCUUUGAGGAAGUGAAAUAGCAAUGGAAACAGUUGAAAAAACUGAAGAAACAGUCUCCAAUGAAACACUGAAAUCGGCCGGAACUGUGAACUGGGGUGCAGCAACAGUAAUGUGCUGCUGGGAUCAGUUUUGGGUGCAGCAUUCUGUUUUCCUCUUGGAUGGGUGCAACUGAAGCUUAUAGAGAAAGCAAAUGAAGCAAAUGUUGAUUCUAAUGCAAGCGGAGAAGCAAGAAGCGGCGUCGGUGCUGCAAUUGAGAGGCUUGAGGGUAACUUGAAAGUGAAGUAGUUAAUAUCUCAAGUAACUAUUGUAGGCAUAAUACCUCACUGAUGUCCCAUCGACUUGAGAGUUCGUAUCAAGAGAAGAAAUCUUUGCUAAAAGUAGAAUCAAACAAAGUAGAAAUACAUUUGUUUUUAUUAUAGCAAGAUAGUGCUAUGUAUUAAUAAUUUAAUACACAUAAUUUUAUAAUUAUUUUAUUUAUUUAUUCAAGUCGUUGAAUCGUUUAAACA